rnacentral:rRNA from 1 species
AUGAACGCUGGCGGCAUGGAUUAGGCAUGCAAGUCGAACGGUGACGGCCCCGCAAGGGGCCUGAUCAGUGGCGAAAGGGUGAGGAACACGUGAGGAACCUGCCCUCGAGUCCGGAAUAGCCCCGGGAAACCGGGAUUAAUGCCGGAUGUGGUUGGAGGCCGAUUGGUCUCCGGACUGAAGGCGCAAGCCGCUCGGGGAUGGUCUCGCGUCCGAUCAGCUGGUUGGCGGGGUAACGGCCCACCAAGGCUAAGACCGGUAGCUGGUCUGAGAGGAUGGUCAGCCACACUGGGACUGAGACACUGCCCAGACUCCUACGGGAGGCUGCAGUCGAGAAUCUUCCGCAAUGGGCGAAAGCCUGACGGAGCAAUGCCGCGUGAGGGAUGAAGGCCUUCGGGUUGUAAACCUCUGUCGCCCGGGACGAAACCAUGACGGUACCGGGAGAGGAAGCUACGGCUAACUACGU